ACAGCUCCUUUUAAUCCUGGUUUCCAUUUCAAGCUGGCCUCUACAGUUGUAUUCCAUUUCUCACCUUGUUUCCAUUAGAAGUCAAGACAAUUUACAAUGUGAACUCUGCUUUGCCUUGCCUGUGUGUGAAAUAACCUGACUUUGCUCUAACAAGCUGCAUCCUGUUUGAGUGGAAGCACAUGGAGCAGAGCUCACAUCCUGGAAACUCCCCAGCUGUUACUGGAAAUGUAUUUAGAAGUUGAUGUUCAUAACGGACCUGCAGAUUUCUCCCUUCCCCCUGCCUUGAUUUAACAAUUUUAAUGGACAGGCUGUCUCUGAUAGAAGAAUACAGUUCAUCAAAAGUGUCUGCAGGUUGUCAAACUCAGUGAGAUUUGGGGAUACUCAGAGGCUGUCAUGGCCAACAAGAAGAUUUUCUGUAGGGUUUUGCCAUCACUCACCCUCAGGAAAUAAUCACUCACUACAUUCUGCAUGCUCUCAUGAUAGAGCUCUAUUUGAGAGAAAAGAGCCAUUUUAUCAAAGGACAAUAUAUCCCUUCUCUUGGUCCACGCAGCUUCCAUUAUCAGGCCAUAAUAAAUCAUAUUUAUGGUCUCAGUUAAUAAGACUGAUUACAAUGCAGGUUACAGACAUGGGAAAAGCAAAGCAGGUGAAAAGAUGUUUUAAUGAAAAUAUGAUAAGAAAACAGCUUCUUCUGAACAUUUUAGGCUAUUAUUUGUAAUGAUCACAGACAAUUUUUGAUGCAUCUUCUUUAGCAAUGGUUUAAGCUGCAUAAAUUGGCCUGCCAGUUUAUACAUUGGAAUAGGAAAAAUCAUGGUAUCCUUCUUAUGUUGUCUAGAAUCAUUAUAUACAUUAUAAGCAUAAAAUGAGUUUAAUGUAUGUGCUUUGAAAUGAAGGGGAAAACAGAAAAUCAGGGAAGACUGAUUUUAAUGUUGCUCAAAAUGAUUUUGAAAUUUUCUACUCAUCUUUGUUACUAACGGUGCAUUUUCCAUGAAAUUUAGGAAUGACAUGUACUGCUUUCAUCUCCUUAAAAUUAAUAUAGUGCUCUUUCUGCUUUUCUCAAUUUCUUCAAAGUUUUUCUUAGAGCACUGUACAGAGAGACAAAGAGAGAUAUAUUCUCCACUCAAUGUGUGCACAUAGCUGCUAUUAAUACUAAUGUGAGUUAAGUGUGUACUUCUUGAGGAGAAUAUGCCCCAACGUUUAAUACUGAAAGGUACCUUAUUAAAAGGAUCUGGACAUUUUUAGUUCCUACAUGUUCAAUGCAUUAAAGCGCCAACUUCCUUAAAGUUGUGUUAAGAAGUAAAAAUAAAAUAGAUAAAAUACUGAGAUGUUUUCAGUC